GACGAACGCUGACGGCGUGCCUAAUACAUGCAAGUCAACGAGAAAGUCGGCUUCGGCUGGCGAGUAAAGUGGCGAAUGGGUGAGUAACGCGUAGGUAACCUGCCUUCAGGAUUGGAAUAACUCUGCUAACGCGGGGCUAAUACCGAAAAAGCAGCAUCACCACAUGGAGAUGUUGUUAAAGAAGGGGCUUCAAAUGAACCUUUCACCUGAAGAUGGGCCUGCGUUCCAUUAGUUAGUUGGUGAGGUGACAGCUCACCAAGACAGCGAUGGAUAGCCGACCUGAGAGGGUGAUCGGCCACACCGGGACUGAGAUACGGCCCAGACUCCUACGGGAGGCAGCAGUAGGGAAUAUUGCGCAAUGGCCUAAAGGCUGACGCAGCAACGCCGUGUGACCGAUGAAGCUCCAAGGAGUGUAAAGGUCUGUUAGGAGGGAAGAAAAGUCCAGACGUUAAUAACUUCUGAACCUGACGGUACCUCCAGAGAAAGCUCCGGCUAACUCCGUGCCAGCAGCCGCGGUAAUACGGGGGAGCAAGCGUUGUCCGGAAUUACUGGGCGUAAAGGGCGUGUAGGCGGGCUUGUAAGUCAGGAGUGAAAUUUGUCGGCUUAACCGGCAAUCUGCUUCUGAUACUGCAGGUCUUGAGUAAGACAGAGGAAAGUGGAAUUCCUGGUGUAGCGGUGAAAUGUGUAGAUAUCAGGAAGAACACCGGUAGCGAAGGCGGCUUUCUGGGUCUUUACUGACGCUGAGGCGCGAAGGCGUGGGUAGCAAACAGGAUUAGAUACCCUGGUAGUCCACGCCUUAAACGAUGAGCACUAGGUGUUGAAGGUUCGACCCCUUCAGUGCCGCAGCUAACGCAUUAAGUGCUCCGCCUGGGGAGACGAUCGCAAGGUU
rnacentral:rRNA from 1 species